rnacentral:rRNA from 1 species
UACGUAGGUGACCAGCGUUGUCCGGAAUUACUGGGCGUAAAGCGCGCGUAGGCGGACCUGCAAGUCGGGGGUGAAAGCCCGAGGCUCAACCUCGGAACUGCCUUCGAUACUGCGGGUCUCGAGUCCGGGAGAGGUGAGUGGAAUUCCUAGUGUAGAGGUGAAAUUCGUAGAUAUUAGGAAGAACACCAGUGGCGAAGGCGGCUCACUGGCCCGGUACUGACGCUGAGGCGCGAAAGCGUGGGGAGCAAACAGG